rnacentral:rRNA from 1 species
UACAGAGGUGGCAAGCGUUGUUCGGAAUUAUUGGGCGUAAAGCGCGCGUAGGCGGUUACUCAAGUCGGAUGUGAAAGCCCUCAGCUUAACUGGGGAACUGCGUGUGAUACUGGAUGGCUUGGAUUUGGGAGAGGGAUGCGGAAUUCCAGGUGUAGCGGUGAAAUGCGUAGAUAUCUGGAGGAACACCGGUGGCGAAGGCGGCAUCCUGGACCGAUAUUGACGCUGAUGCGCGAAAGCGUGGGGGAGCAAACAGG